AGAAAAACAAGAGUAGAAGGGUCGUCUACACCACCGCCUAUCCUCUUGAGAGGCGACGGCCGGUAGACAAUAGAGGCUGGAUACAUGAAAAUUUCUUCAUGUACAUCCUUGUGAGAUAUCUCAAAGAAGAGUUGAAGGAUCGUCUGCUCUGCCACGCGAGCGGGAUCCGUCCUCUCGUGAGGUGACGGUAACUCUCUUUUUUCAUCAUAUAUAGUUCAAUUCGGUGUACUUAGGACCCAUUUGCAGAUCUGGCACUAUAUAGACAGAGAUAGGUAAAAAGCCAGCAAUCUCUUCUCUUGAUUUUAGUGUGUUAAUUUGCAGUGUGUUGUAUACCAUCAAUGAACCGGGUGUCUUAAGAUGCCAGAUGGUUUGUAUAGUUACUGAGAUAGGCAGGGAAAAGAUCCGAGCAGCACACUUCUGUGAUUGAGAAUCAUGUGAUUGUGACACAUUUUGGUCCCCAUUGGAAUGGCUAGCUCCAGGGUCAGGCAACUCCAGCUCCCACCUGUAAAGCAUUAUUCACAACAGGCUUGUAGGAGGGAGUUUUUUUUUUUUUUAGAAAAGAAGGUUCCCCGCGCUUUACUGAUUAUAAAGCGUCACAAAAGCGUUUACAGCAUAGGCAUAUAUACUAGCGCGCCCGCCACAGAAAACACGACCUACUGGUCGUUCUCACAAUCCCACAAGGCCGGAUCACACAUCAGGUUCUAACAGACUUAAUUCAGAACUCAGCUGAAUCACAUCGUUUGAGUCCACAUCGAUCCGAGGGCUGAUAAGAACCCAAUGCUUGUCGACUGGAUUGAUGCCAGCAAAUUCUUGUGCUUAUUACAACUCCAUCUGGUAAAUGAUCUACUCCAGCUUCACCUCUUGUGCUCCAGCGAACAGCGGCUUCCUCCAUCUUCUCACUGUAGUAGGGAGAGAGUUUUGGCUCCUAUAAACAGUGUUUUUGCAUUAUUUUUCAGGUGGGAGCCGGAGCUGCCUAGAGCCGUACCAAAAGGGGCCUCUUUGAUUUUGGUGUCAGAUACCAUCCGAUCCGCUGUCUGUUUGCAUGACUAAAACUAGCACGUACUAGCUAGCUAAAGUCGCGUGUAGCAUGGGUCGUCAUCUCACCCUCCCGAAACAAGUUCACCAUAGAAACCAAAAAAUUUUCAAGAUUUCCCGUCACAUCGAAUCUUGUGGCACAUGCAUAAAACAUUAAAUAUAGACGAAAACAAAAACUAAUUACACAGUUUAGCUGUAAAUCACGAGACGAAUCUUUUGAUCCUAGUUAGUCCAUGAUUAGAUAAUAUUUGUUACAAACAAACGAAAGUGCUACACUACCGAAAACUUUUCACGUCAUAUUCAUCAUCCUACUAGUAGUUAGUAGCAGGCUUCUAGAUCUCGUGUAUGUCUACGGAUCAGCACCGGCGUUGCUGACACCUAGCAGUACUUACGUCGCCGCUCAGUACUAAGGUUACGUGUUAAAUCGUGCGCAAGCAGUACUGUUCAUAUGUAAUCUCGUCAAAACUAGCUACCGAACCUAAUUACCUAAGCUAUAGCCUAUUCUUUUAAAGUCUAGCCAGCGUUCGUGCGGUCGUGACGUAGGGGCUCAAACGAACAAGAGACCAUAUCGCAAUACCACCACCGUACCUACCUUUG
rnacentral:lncRNA from 1 species